rnacentral:rRNA from 1 species
CACGUGAGUAACCUGCCCCUGACUCUGGGAUAAGCGUUGGAAACGACGUCUAAUACUGGAUAUGAUCACUGGCCGCAUGGUCUGGUGGUGGAAAGAUUUUUUGGUUGGGGAUGGACUCGCGGCCUAUCAGCUUGUUGGUGAGGUAAUGGCUCACCAAGGCGACGACGGGUAGCCGGCCUGAGAGGGUGACCGGCCACACUGGGACUGAGACACGGCCCAGACUCCUACGGGAGGCAGCAGUGGGGAAUAUUGCACAAUGGGCGAAAGCCUGAUGCAGCAACGCCGCGUGAGGGAUGACGGCCUUCGGGUUGUAAACCUCUUUUAGUAGGGAAGAAGCGAAAGUGACGGUACCUGCAGAAAAAGCACCGGCUAACUACGUGCCAGCAGCCGCGGUAAUACGUAGGGUGCAAGCGUUGUCCGGAAUUAUUGGGCGUAAAGAGCUCGUAGGCGGUUUGUCGCGUCUGCUGUGAAAUCCCGAGGCUCAACCUCGGGCUUGCAGUGGGUACGGGCAGACUAGAGUGCGGUAGGGGAGAUUGGAAUUCCUGGUGUAGCGGUGGAAUGCGCAGAUAUCAGGAGGAACACCGAUGGCGAAGGCAGAUCUCUGGGCCGUAACUGACGCUGAGGAGCGAAAGCAUGGGGAGCGAACAGGAUUAGAUACCCUGGUAGUCCAUGCCGUAAACGUUGGGCGCUAGAUGUAGGGACCUUUCCACGGUUUCUGUGUCGUAGCUAACGCAUAAGC